GAUGAACGCUGGCGGCGUGCUUAACACAUGCAAGUCGAGCGAAGCACUUACCAUUGACUCUUCGGAAGAUUUGGUAAAUGACUGAGCGGCGGACGGGUGAGUAACGCGUGGGUAACCUGCCUCAUACAGGGGAAUAACAGUUAGAAAUGGCUGCUAAUGCCGCAUAAGCGCACAGUACCGCAUGGUACGGUGUGAAAAACCGAGGUGGUAUGAGAUGGACCCGCGUCUGAUUAGGUAGUUGGUGGGGUAACGGCCUACCAAGCCGACGAUCAGUAGCCGGCCUGAGAGGGUGAACGGCCACAUUGGGACUGAGACACGGCCCAGACUCCUACGGGAGGCAGCAGUGGGGAAUAUUGCACAAUGGGGGAAACCCUGAUGCAGCGACGCCGCGUGAAGGAAGAAGUAUCUCGGUAUGUAAACUUCUAUCAGCAGGGAAGAAAAUGACGGUACCCUKACU
rnacentral:rRNA from 1 species